rnacentral:rRNA from 1 species
AGUGAACGCUGGCGGUAGGCCUAACACAUGCAAGUCGAACGGCCGCAUAGUAAGAGCUUGCUCUUACGGGUGGCGAGUGGCGGACGGGUGCGGAAUACAUCGGAAUCUACUUUUUCGCGGGGGCUAAUGUAGGGAAACUUAUGCUAAUGCCGCAUACGACCUACGGGUGAAAGCAGGCGAUCUUCGGACUUUGCGCGAUUGAAUGAGCCGAUGUCGGUUGAGCUCGUUGGCGGGGUAAAGGCACACCAAGGCGACGAUCCGUAGCUGAUCUGAGAGGAUGAACAGGCACACUGGAUGUGAGACACAGUCCAGACUCCUGCAGGGAGCAGCGGUGCGGAAUAUUGCGGGAGGGAGGAGAGCCUAAUCCAGCCAAACCGCGUAGAGGAAGAAGGCCUUCUGGUUGUAGAACCCUUAUGUUGGGAGAGAAGAACAACAGUUUAAUACCCCACGGUACUGACGGUACCCAAAGAAUAAGCACCGGCUAACUUCGUG